rnacentral:misc_RNA from 1 species
CUGCGUCUAUAAAGCAAUCGCCGAAGACCAGAGCAAAGGAAAGAAGUCGGUCUCCCAUAGUUUCUGUGAAAGAAGCCAUCUUUGAUCUUUCUCUUCCCUUCUCUUUUGCUCUCUGUGGAACAGAGGAAAAAUGGCGGUGGGCAGAGAGGAGGUGCAGAUAGUCAAGCCAAGAACGGACAAAAGAGAGUAUAGGAGGAUCGUUCUCAAGAAUUCACUUCAGGUCCUUCUCAUCAGCGAUCCCGAAACCGAUAAGUGUGCUGCUUCAAUGAAUGUCAGUGUUGGCUCCUUCAGCGACCCUGUUGGCCUGGAAGGCCUUGCCCAUUUUCUGGAGCAUAUGCUGUUUUAUGCGAGUGAGAAAUAUCCGUUGGAGGAUAGUUAUUCCAAGUAUAUAACGGAGCACGGAGGCUGCACUAAUGCUUAUACAUCUUCUGAGCACACCAACUACCAUUUUGAUGUCAACACUGAUUGUUUUGAAGAUGCUUUGGACAGAUUUGCGCAAUUCUUUAUUAAACCACUAAUGUCAGCUGAUGCAACCACAAGAGAGAUUAAAGCUGUUGAUUCUGAGAAUCAGAAAAAUUUAUUGUCAGAUGCUUGGAGAAUGAACCAGCUUCAUAAACAUCUAAGUGAUGAAGGCCAUCCAUAUCAUAAAUUCAGUACUGGGAAUUGGGAUACUCUGGAAGUUCGACCAAAAGCAAAAGGAUUGAAUACAAGAGAGGAGCUUAUUAAGUUCUAUGAUGAAAAUUAUUCUGCCAACCUUAUGCAUCUGGUGAUAUAUUCUAAGGAAAGCCUUGAUAAAAUUCAAAGCCUUGUUGAGGACAAAUUUCAAGAGAUUCGAAGCAAUGAUCGAGACUAUAUUUUUUUUCCUCGUCAGCCAUGCACGUCUAAACACUUACAGAUACUUGUCAGAGCUGUCCCAAUAAAACAAGGUCACAAAUUAAGGAUUGUUUGGCCUGUAACUCCAAGUAUUCUUCACUACAAGGAAGGACCAUGCAACUAUUUGGAUCAUCUUAUUGGCCAUGAAGGAGAAGGAUCUUUGUUUUUCGUCUUGAAAUCAUUGGGAUGGGUUACAAGUUUGUAUGCAGGUGAAGAUUUUUGGAACCGGGCAUUUUCUUUCUUUAAAGUAACAAUUGAUCUCACUGAUGAUGGUCAUGAACACAUGCAAGAUAUUGUAGGAUUGCUAUUCAAAUACAUUCACCUCUUACAAGAGUCUGGUAUUUGCAAAUGGAUAUUUGACGAGAUGGCUGCUAUAUGCGAAACAAAAUUUCAUUAUCGAGACAAAAUCUCUUCAUUCUAUUAUGCAACUAAAAUCGCAUCAAAUAUGCAGUUAUAUCCUCCAAAAGAUUGGCUAGUUCGAUCCUCCAUGCCUUCCAAAUUCAGCCCAAGCAUAAUUCAUUCAGUGAUGAAUCAGCUUUCUCCAACCAAUGCCCGGAUUUUUUGGGUGUCUAAGGAAUUUGAAGGACAAACUGACUUGGUUGAGCCAUGGUACAAAACUGCAUAUAGUGUUGAAAACAUUAAUAAUUCAAUGAUUCAGGAAUGGAUAUCUUCUGCCCCUAAUGAAAAUCUGCAUCUGCCAGUGCCUAAUGUAUUCAUCCCUACUGACUUCUUGCUCAAGGAUACACAAGAGAAGGUCAAAUUCCCGGUUCUAGUGAGAAAGUCAUGCUAUGCGUCAUUAUGGUACAAGCCUGAUACACUGUUCUCCACACCCAAAGCCUAUGUCAAAAUAGAUUUCAAUUGCCCCUGUGCUAAGAGCUCUCCAGAGACAGAAGUUCUUACAAUCAUUUUUACUCGAUUGUUAAAGGAUUACUUGAAUGAAUAUGGCAAGUAAAUUGGAUUGAGUGAAGGGGAACAUUCUUAUUUCUUUGAUAUUUUUCCCCUUCCAAUGAUACUUCUACUAGUUAUAUUUGACGAAGAGGCAGAGCACUUGGAUUUAAUUGACUUUCCUUUCCUUUCCCUGUUACGGCUUAUUGAUAUUUCUGAUGUGGUAUUUAGUUUCAUUUUUUGGCAAGUUCUUGACACGUUCUGCACUUUUCAGCUUACAAUGCACGUGUUGCUGGU